rnacentral:misc_RNA from 1 species
AGAGAGAGAGAGAGAGAGCAAUUGGUGGGCAGCUCAGCUCAGCCAUGGCCAUAGGAGAAGGAAACUGGUAAUUGACUUUAUCAAUAGUUUCAUACUUAGCCAUGCAAACCCUAAGUAUACGCUCUGCUCUGCUACUUUCAACCAAUGUCAUGCCCUUGUAUUCUUUUCUCCUUCAUCCUCAUACUUACAUCCUCUAAACCAUAGCUAUGAAAAAAAAAAAAGAAAGGAAAAAAGGUCUUAAAUAUGCUCAUAAACACCUUCUCUUUCAAUAAUCUUGCAGCUUAGUGAUUAAUUAAGCACUAUUAGUAUUGGAUUGGCCAAACCUCUUUGUUAUUGUGUUGUUGGUUUCUAGUUUUGGUGAAGAUGUUGUAUGAACAGCAACAGCUUCAAAAUCAUAUGAUGAUGUUGGACUUGAGGAAUAAGAAGGCUGAUGGGACUGACUCCAUUGAAGAAGAAAAGCAUGAAAAUAUUGAUUUGAGUAGCAUGUCUUUGGAUUCUCUCCCUAAUCCUUCCCUCAACUUAGCCACUAUUUGCAAACUUGACCUCUCCAAUAAUAAUCUUCAGAGCAUACCAGAAUCUUUAACAGCUAGAUUGCUGAAUGUGGUGGUGUUGGAUGUGCAUUCAAAUCAGUUAAAAUCUCUCCCUAAUUCAAUUGGGUGUUUGACAAAGCUCAAGGUUUUGAAUGCUGCUGGAAACCUUCUUGCUUCUCUUCCAAAAACUAUUGAAAAUUGCAGAUGUCUAGAAGAAUUGAAUGCAAACUUCAACAAGCUAAGCAUGAUUCCAGACACCAUUGGACAUGAGCUAGUGAACCUGAAGAAGCUCACAGUGAAUUCAAACAAGCUAAUGUUCCUUCCUCACUCCAUCUCCCAGCUCACCUCUUUGACAUCUUUAGAUGCACGUCUUAACAACCUAAGAUCUCUCCCUGAAGAUCUCGAAAACCUUAUAAACCUACAAGUUCUUAAUGUUAGCCAAAAUUUCCAAUACCUUGAAACCCUACCAUACUCUAUUGGCCUCCUUAUUUCUCUGGUAGAAUUGGACCUCAGUUACAAUAGAAUCACCUCUCUUCCUGACUCUAUGGGAUGCCUUCGGAAGCUUCAGAAGCUUAGCGUUGAUGGUAACCCACUUGUUUCGCCCCCGAUGGAGGUGGUUGAGCAAGGUUUGCACGCGGUUAAGGAGUACCUGAGUGAGAAGAUGAAUGCCAGUCACCAGACCUCAAAGAAGAAGUCCUGGGUAGGUAAGUUGGUCAAGUAUGGAACCUUCAAUGGUAGUGCGAGGAAUCAUCAUAACACUGAGGAAAUCAUCAUGUCUGAAUAUCGCUCCAUUGAUGGCCUUGCUUCUCCUAGGUACUCAGGGAUGUUCUCACCUCGUCGCCUCUUCUCGCCUAAAAAUAUCUUCACUAGAUAAUUUUUCUAGGUAUUUCUAAAUUUUUUUAAAGGGACAGUCGACCACCAAGGAGUGGUUUGAACUCUUAUACUCCUCAGACAUGCACUCAACCCUCUCUAACUCUCACUUUAGCAUGCAUUAGCAAUUUAUUGUUGUGUAUUUGUAUUGCCCCACUAGAUAUCUGUGCAGUUCUAAUGCACUUUGAUAUCAGCAUUUUCUCUCUUGUAAAUAAAUAGCAUGCAAUAUAAUGUUGUUAAAAAGUUUAUAUUCUCGACUGUUUGAAGCAAUUGAUUUUUCCUUAAUCAUAAAAAAAUUUUAAAAUGAGUGAGCUUAUGCAGCCAAUGCUUAAAACAGGCUUAAAGACACCCUUGUAAAUAAUCAAGGCAAAGGCAUAAACAAACAUAGAAGUAAGACCCACUUAAGGCAACCUUCAACAACCAUAUAGCACCCUCAAAUAAGCAGCAGCAGACCCACAAAUGCCACACAUACAACAUAGAGCCUCAGCAUUUUAGAAUGCUGGAGAAAUAAACUAGCCACACCCACAUCUUCCAUCACAAGAUGAGAAGCUAAGAAUAAUACCACAAAAGCACAACAAACCAUAUUGAAAGGAAGAAGUUAGUAAAAACCAUAACAGCAACAAUGAACGAAUCAAAAUAUUAUUAUCCAAAACACGCACAUGGUGCAAUAGCAUUAUAGAAACUACUCAACCUUAAGAGUUAUUUCAAAUCAUUACUAAUUUUCAUUGUUUAGGAUCUUUUUAUAGUAGUUCUUUGUUUUGGACUUAUAUGUAAUUUUCAAAAGAAGUAUUUUAUUAUCAACUAAUUAGGGGCUUAGUAUUAAUAAUCUUCUCAUAUAGAAAGUCCAUGUCCCUUAAAGAUUGUGUCUACAAGUGCUUACACAUUUUGGAUUACUUUUGUUUUGAGUGUAUUAUAUGCUUGUAAUGCUUUAUUUUCCAACAGAAUAGAAUCAACAAUUGAGAAGUAGAGUUUUUACUAAAAAACUUUUAAUUGAGCUUUCUCCGAUAGAGGGAAAAAGAGGCAGGAAAGGAAAA